rnacentral:rRNA from 1 species
AUGCAAGACUACUUCGCGGAGAAUCCUACAUAUCCACCGCACCUCUUCCGGAGAAGGAACCGAAUGCGCCGAUCCCUCUUUGUCAAAAUUGUUCAAGAUUGCGAGGCAAAUUGACCGUAUUUUACUCAAAGAAGAAAUGAUGCGGGCUUAAAGGGAUUUAGUGCUUAUCAAAAAAUCUCCGCAGCAAUGCGGGUGAUUGCAUAUAGUGUUCCGGCUGACUACGCCGAUAAGUACCUUCGCAUUGGUGAAGAUACUGCAAUUGAGUCUGUGCGUAGAUUUGCAAAGGUGAUCAUCCGUGUCUUUGGUCCUGAGUAUCUUCGGACACCCAACGAAGAUGACACAAAGAAAUUGAUGGCAUCUAAUGAGAGGAGAGGUUGGCCUGGCAUGCUAGGUAGUAUUGAUUGUAUGCAUUGGACUUGGAAAAAUUGCCCCAAGGCAUGA